GAGACUAUCUCCUCUCAAUUCAGAUCUACCAAAGGUUUGCAAGAAAGGUACAAGUUAUAAUUCCAAUGAAAAUUUAGAGAUGCCGAGAAAUAAUGAUAUAAUCAAAUGGUAUGCCGAGAAAGAACGGUAUAAUCAAAUGGUCCUCCUCACAUUCCUUUUGCAUGAGCAGUAAAUGGAGAUCCAGAUGGAGGGCAUCAAAGAAAAAAGGGAAGCACCGGUUCAGUGGAAACCGAAAUGAUAGAUGUGUAUGUUAUCUUAAGGCAACACUUU
rnacentral:misc_RNA from 1 species